GACGAACGCUGGCGGCGUGCUUAACACAUGCAAGUCGAACGGAAAGGCCCUGCUUUUGGGGGUUGCCCGAGGGCCAAAGGGGUGAGUAACACGGGAGAAACCGGCCCUUGACUUUGGGAUAACUUCAGGAAACGGGGGCUAAUACCGGAUAGGAGCUCCUGCUGCAGGGGGGGGGUUGGAAAGUUUCGGCGGUUGGGGAUGGACUCGCGGCUUAUCAGCUUGUUGGUGGGGUAGUGGCUUACCAAGGCUUUGACGGGUAGCCGGCCUGAGAGGGUGACCGGCCACAUUGGGACUGAGAUACGGCCCAGACUCCUACGGGAGGCAGCAGUGGGGAAUAUUGCACAAUGGGCGGAAGCCUGAUGCAGCAACGCCGCGUGCGGGAUGACGGCCUUCGGGUUGUAAACCGCUUUCGCCUGUGACGAAGCGUGAGUGACGGUAAUGGGUAAAGAAGCACCGGCUAACUACGUG
rnacentral:rRNA from 1 species